rnacentral:sRNA from 1 species
GGAAGACUUAAGAUGGCGGCGUUUGCACGGAGUGCAAUCACUGCGUCCUUACGGGGGUUGCAAGGCGUCCGAAGUAUGAGUCCACUAACAAAAGUCCAGAAACUCGCCAGUUAAUAGUAUUGUGUCUCUUCAAAAUAUCGGAGAAUAAUUUCUUUCUCGCUGAUCGCCUAACUUCUACUGACGAAGCUAGGAAGUUGCAGAAGAUGGAGUUCGCUCUUGUUGCCCAGGCUGGAAUGCAAUGGCAUGACCUUGGCUCACUGCAACCUCUGCCUCCCCAGUUCAAGUGGUUCUCCUGCCUCAGCCUCCCGAGUAGCUGAGAUUACAGAAAAGGGGUUUCACCUUUUGGCCAGGCUGAUCUCGAACUUCUGACCUCAAGCAAUCCACCCGCCUUGGCCUCCCAAAGUGCUGGGAUUACAGGCGUGAGCCACUGCGCCCAGCCCAUAUAGAGGUACUGGCUCCUGUAUCACCCAGCUCUGGAGUUGAAAGAGCUCUUCAUUCCUGAGUCUCCUGUACCACUGAGAAUAGGCUGGAGUGCAGUGGCGCAAUCUCGGCUCUCUGCAACCUUCACCUCCCGUGUUCAAGUGAUUCUCCUGCCUCAGCCUCCUGAAUACCUGAGAUUACAAGCAUGAGCCACCGCGUCCAGCAAGAAUAGGUGAUUUUCAAACUUGGAAACAUUCAGAAGUUAUCGCCUCAGUUUCAGAUUGAGUAGUCUCAAAGAGAUUACAGACAUCUACCACAAAUUCUCUACUUGGUGUGGUGCAAAAUCAGUAUGAUGUAAACUUUGUCUCUCAGUUUCUUCAAAGGAAAGAAGCAACUGGAACACACAUAUAACACUAACCCUUCCAGCUGCAUUAUGAGGGACCAGUACCUGUCUCAAGGCAAAAUUAUGACUUAGUUCAUCCUCACCUCUGGAGGCCAGUAAAAGUGGGUUAUAGAAGAACAAAGAGGCAUCUAGAUCUUUCACUGGGUUAUUUGGAGAGAAACAUCUCCUACCGAAGGCCAGUUUAACAAGACUGGUAGAGGAGGUUAUCUUAUCUAAUUCACAGAAAUCAACACAUUGAGUCAAGAAAAAUGAAACACAGAAACACUCUAAAUAAAAGAAGAUAAGUCUUCAGAAACCAACCCUAAUGAAAUGAAGAUAUGUGAUUAACCUGACAGGAAAUUAAAAAGAGCAACCAUAAAGAGUCUCAUGGGAGCAAUGCAUGAACAAACUGAGAAUUUUCAUAAAGAAAUAAAAGAUAACAAAAAGUAUAAAGUUGAAGAAUACAAUAACUGGACUCAAAAAUUUAAUGUGUCCAACAGAAGAAUCGAUGAAGCAGAAGAAAGGGCUAUCAAACUUGUAGAUAGGCCAUUGGAAAUCAUGUAAUGUGAGGAGAAAAAAGAAAAAA